rnacentral:lncRNA from 1 species
UGCUCGCGCGGAAAGCGAGAAAGAAAAAGUUUCGGAGGCCUUUUUGGUUUCGCAUCCGCGUCAUCAUAGCCGGGUCAUCGAAAGCGGAGCCAUGACCAAGGAGGAGGCCUACGGCUACGGUAACGGCAAGUGUCGCACUUCCGUCCAGCGCCGCCUCUCUCUCCCCUAGGGCAGCACCACCCAGGCGGCUGCUUGGGGUCCGUAGUAGUGGCCCGUCGCAGCGGAUCGCGCGCACCGCGAGCCGCCAACAGAAUCUGGGACACGGAACUCGUCCCUGUUUGAGCUCGGGUCCCUUGACGAGGUCUCGGAGCUCCCAUCAUGCAAGGCAUCGCGGCCAAAGUUCGCCGGAGCAGCUCUUCGCUGAUGGAGGACGCGCAGCGAAUGAUGUUCGGAUCGACCAUCAAUGACAGACCGCGUCCAUUCACGCGUUUGGUCACGUGGGAGAGCAUGGUCGUGGUGAUGUGCGCCCUGGUGCUGUCGAUCGUGUUCGGGUUCUUCAUUCACCAGAGUUUCCACUCCAGGAUGUCAAACGGACUCAUGGUUGCCUAUGACGCGCACUGACGACGCCCACGACAACGUGCAGCGAAAUAACUUUCCGCAUAGGGAAGCAGACUCCGUGGGCAUGCAAGGAAGUGUAAGAGUUCGACGUUUAG